UAGAAAACAUGACCAAUGGGGAAGAUUGAAAGAACUGGGCUUGUUUAAUCUGCAAAAGCCACUCCCUCAGCCUAGGGGACAGCAGGAGGUGAAUCAGUCAAGGCUGUGGACUUUGCUGCCUGGAGCUCAGAACUGAAAAUUAUAACUUUUUGGUGGACCAGUCAAAAAUCGAUGCAAGAAGCGUGCUAUACCAUCCUAGAUAUAUUACAAAAUGAGAGCAGCUAAGCAUUCUCAUGUCCUGAUUCUACUGCCUCAAGGCAAACAAGGAACUAGUACUGAAUUUCCAACUUUAUCUUGCUCCCCUGUGAAAGUAUUAUUUGCAUUAUAGCAGAAAGGCUAUAGUGCUUGUUUCAUUUGUAAACAAUAUGCAGUAGCUUUCAAAAUGGAUCAAAGAAAUAAAACAGCAAAAAAUGCUACAUUCACUAUACUAACAAAGUUGGAAUCUGUUGUGUGAAUCACAUGUUCUUGGAAUUCCAAGUGCACUGAAGUUGUUCCUGAUCCCAAGAGAUUCAGAUAAGUAAAACAGAUACAUGCAGAUAAAAGAGACUUUCUUUUUAAAUAUUUCUCAAAUAAAAAAAAGAUGAAGCUAAACAUUAAAAUACAAUAACAAAUUAUGUUUUGAUAAUUUUCUCUGAGAGACUCUUUUUUUCAAGCAUGAGCCAAAUGGGAAAAGCAGAGAAAGAAUAAAAUGAUCAAGUAAACUUUUUUUAAAACAUUAUGCAGCAAAAGGAAAAAAAAUACUGGCAAAUAAAAGAAACAGCCCAUAAUCUAACCCAACAAACCGAUGUGUGCCAACCAUACUUAGAAAAAAACCCAAACAGAUUGAGACAUGCUAGUUCCUAGCAGCGUUAUACAGGCAGUCCCCGGGUUACGUACAAGAUAGAGAC